CCGCGCCGGAGAGGCCCGCAGGACCGCCGAGCCCACACUCCGCUCCCGCCCGGGCCCCGCUCCCCCGCGCCGCCUUGGUACGCUCCGGCCACGCCCCCUCGGACGCGCUUGGUACGCGCCGGGCUCCCCCGCUCGCCUCAGUGGUUCGGCCGCGGCGACCCCACUCCGGCGGCGCGUCCCCCGAGCUUGGAAGGUGCUCGGGUCUUCGGGGCACUGGGUCCCAUCGGUCCCUCCUCACCUGGGCUCACCCUCGGGGGUCUGGCCGUGAGCGAGCACCGGCUCAGCAACAAGCUGCUGGCUUGGAGCGGCGUCCUCGAGUGGCAGGAGAAGCGCAGACCCUACUCUGACUCCACUGCAAAGCUGAAGCGGACCCUGCCCUGCCAAGCCUACGUGAACCAAGGCGAGAACCUGGAGACCGACCAGUGGCCGCAGAAGCUGAUCAUGCAGCUGAUCCCGCAGCAGCUGCUGACCACCCUGGGCCCCCUGUUCCGGAACUCCCAGUUGGCACAGUUCCACUUCACCAACAGAGACUGCGACUCGCUCAAGGGGCUCUGCCGCAUCAUGGGCAACGGCUUCGCGGGCUGCAUGCUGUUCCCCCACAUCUCCCCCUGUGAGGUGCGCGUGCUCAUGCUCCUGUACUCGUCCAAGAAGAAGAUCUUCAUGGGCCUCAUCCCCUACGACCAGAGCGGCUUCGUCAGUGCCAUCCGGCAGGUCAUCACCACCCGCAAGCAGGCAGUGGGACCUGGUGGUGUCAACUCAGGCCCAGUCCAGAUCGUCAACAACAAGUUUCUGGCAUGGAGUGGCGUCAUGGAGUGGCAGGAGCCCAGGCCUGAGCCCAACAGUCGGUCCAAGAGGUGGCUGCCAUCCCACGUCUACGUGAACCAGGGGGAGAUCCUGUGAGUGCUGGGCUGGGGGGUGGAGGCAGCAUCCAGGGGAGCUGGGGCUUCCUGACCCUCGUCCCUUUGUGCCCCACAGGAGGACCGAGCAGUGGCCAAGGAAGCUGUACAUGCAGCUCAUCCCGCAGCAGCUGCUGACCACCCUAGUGCCGCUGUUCCGGAACUCGCGCCUGGUCCAGUUCCACUUCACCAAGGACCUGGAGACACUGAAGAGCCUGUGCCGGAUCAUGGACAAUGGCUUCGCCGGCUGCGUGCACUUUUCCUACAAAGCAUCGUGUGAGAUCCGCGUGCUUAUGCUCCUGUACUCUUCGGAGAAGAAAAUCUUCAUUGGCCUCAUCCCCCAUGACCAGGGCAACUUUGUCAACGGCAUCCGGCGUGUCAUUGCCAACCAGCAGCAGGUCCUGCAGCGGAACCUGGAGCAGGAGCAGCAGCAACGAGGGAUGGGGGGGUAGUGGUUACCCCGGGCUGGGCCUCUCCAGGAGUCACAGAUGAGGCCCCCGCAGAGACUGGUGACAUGCUUCUGAGCAGGGGCCCCUGGGGACUUCAACUGCCCAGCAACAUGGAGGAUGGUGUCCUGAGGCCUCCAAGGACGGUCCCCACCCCUCUACGUUUCCCCAAUAA
rnacentral:sRNA from 1 species